UACUGCCCGUGCUAUUAUAGUAUUUUAAUUUAUAUUUUAUGAAGAUGAUAUAAUUAAAAUGAUUAUUAUUAUGAUUAUAAAACAUGAUUUAAUUAAGAAAAUAACUACCGAUGAUAACGGUUAGGCAAUUAUUAUUUGCAUUUUUCUUACUCAUGAAGUGAGAUUGUUAGUCUCUUUUCAGUCUUUCGUUUUUAUAUCUUCAUACUUUAAUGAAAUAUUAUAAAGUGAAAGUAACGUAUCAAGACUCUUAAGAGAAAUAUUUUUAUUAUCAUAUCAGAAUAUAACUAGCUCGGCACAUUUGUUAGCAAAAUUAUAUCCACGUAAGUCCUAAUUGACAAUUGUUGAAAAGGCAGCCCUGAACAAAUAAGAUUUAUUCACUUUUACCAUAAUAUUCAUAAAAAAUAGGUACAAAAUUCUAAAUAUGUGAUAGCUGACAGCCCUGAACAAAGAGGGUGCUUGUAGCGAUGGUUAUCGUUGGAUCGAGCCCCGUAUGGAUACGUCUGUAACGGCCCCCUGACGGCAGAUCGAAAAUAAUACUAUUAUUGUUGAUGGUAUGGGAAGGUGUCCCAUCAGAUAAGUGAAUGGCUCGGCGGGCUCCGUGGAAACAAUUUGCAACCAUAUCAAGAUCACACGUGGAAUGUGUUCAAAGUUAAAUUAUAUUUCAGUUAAACCGCGAAGGGUAAAUAAAAUCAUGAAUUGGUUUAUUUUUUUUUUCAUUAAAAUAAAUGAUAUAAACACU